rnacentral:rRNA from 1 species
AACGAACGCUGGCGGCAUGCCUAACACAUGCAAGUCGAACGAGACCUUCGGGUCUAGUGGCGCACGGUUUCGUAACGCGUGGGAACCUGCCCUUAGGUUCGGAAUAACUCCCCGAAAGGGGUGCUAAUACCGGAUAAUGUCUUCGGACCAAAGAUUUAUCGCCUUUGGAUGGGCCCGCGUUGGAUUAGCUAGUUGGUAGGGUAAAAGCCUACCAAGGCGACGAUCCAUAGCUGGUCUGAGAGGAUGAUCAGCCACACUGGGACUGAGACACGGCCCAGACUCCUACGGGAGGCAGCAGUGGGGAAUAUUGGAAAAUGGGCGAAAGCCUGAUCCAGCAAUGCCGCGUGAGUGAUGAAGGCCUUAGGGUUGUAAAGCUCUUUUAACCGGGAUGAUAAUGACAGUACCGGGAGAAUAAGCCCCGGCUAACUACGUG